GGAAAAGUUGUCAUUGGCAGGACAAGACAAUUGCUAAUUGUCGCUCAGGCUUAGAUGUUCGAUUCAUCUCUUUUCCG
rnacentral:tRNA from 2 species